rnacentral:rRNA from 1 species
UACAGAGGUCUCAAGCGUUGUUCGGAUUCAUUGGGCGUAAAGGGCGCGUAGGCUGCGGGGCAAGUCGGGUGUGAAAUCUCAGAGCUCAACUCUGAAACUGCACUCGAUACUGCUUUGCUUGGGACUGGAGAGGAGAUUGGAAUUCACGGUGUAGCAGUGAAAUGCGUAGAUAUCGUGAGGAAGACCAGUGGCGAAGGCGGAUCUCUGGACAGUUCCUGACGCUGAGGCGCGAAGGCCAGGGGAGCAAACGGG